CCUACGGGAGGCAGCAGUAGGGAAUCUUCCACAAUGGGCGAAAGCCUGAUGGAGCAACGCCGCGUGGGUGAAGAAGGUCUUCGGAUCGUAAAACCCUGUUGUCAGAGAAGAAAGUGCGUGAGAGUAACUGUUCACGUUUCGACGGUAUCUAACCAGAAAGCCACGGCUAACUACGUGCCAGCAGGCGCGGUAAUACGUAGGUGGCAAGAGUUAUCCGGAUUUAUUGGGCGUAAAGGGAACGCAGGCGGGCUUUUAAGUCUGAUGUGAAAGCCCGCGGCUUAACCGGAGUAGUGCAUUGGAAACUGGGGAACUUGAGUGCAGGAGAGGAGAGUGGAACUCCAGGUGUAGCGGUGAAAUGCGUAGAGAUAUGGAAGAACACCAGUGGCGAAGGCGGCUUUCUGGUCUGUAACUGACGCUGAGGUUCGAAAGCGUGGGUAGCAAACAGGAUUAGAUACCCUUGUAGUC
rnacentral:rRNA from 1 species